CCUUUUAACCUCCUCGGCUAAGCCUGCGUGCGGCGCGUAGGCGCUGACAACAUUGAGGACCCUACCCCAAUAACCAGCUUAAUAGACAUUAACCUAUCGUUCACUCGCCUAACCUCGACCACUGACUCCCUUAGGUCCCUAUCAACCAAGAUGCCCACUCCAUUCUUACCCCUCUCGAGCCCAGAGUACCACAGCUUAAACCCAUN
rnacentral:lncRNA from 1 species